CAGUCGCCGCGGGAAUACAGAGGGUGCAAGCGUUAAUCGGAAUUACUGGGCGUAAAGCGCGCGUAGGUGGUUUGUUAAGUUGGAUGUGAAAUCCCCGGGCUCAACCUGGGAACUGCAUCCAAAACUGGCAAGCUAGAGUAUGGUAGAGGGUGGUGGAAUUUCCUGUGUAGCGGUGAAAUGCGUAGAUAUAGGAAGGAACACCAGUGGCGAAGGCGACCACCUGGACUGAUACUGACACUGAGGUGCGAAAGCGUGGGGAGCAAACAGGAUUAGAGACCCGUGUAGUCCCUGUCUCUUAUAC
rnacentral:rRNA from 1 species